rnacentral:sRNA from 1 species
AUACAUCAAUUAAUACAUAUUUUGUUGCCCAGCCCUGUGUGAUCCUUCUCUCUCUCUGCAGUAUGCAUAAUGCAUAGAAGCAUAGUGAAGACUUGGAAAAGACUUUCAGCAAAGGAAUUGUUUAAAAGUAAACAGAAGCCUAUCAGUUGCUGAAGAAGGCCACCCUUCAGGAUAAUACAAAUCAAACUGAAAACAGGUUUCAAAAGACAGAUGCUUCUGUGUCACACUUGUCAGGUUUGAAUAUUGGCAGCGGUGCAUUCGAGACAAAGACAGCUAACAAAAUUGCUUCGGAAGCUAGUUUUUCAUCUAGUGAAGGAAGUCCUUUGUCAAGGCAUGAAAACAAAAAGAAACCCGUGAUCAAUUUAAAAUCUAAUGCCCUCUGGGAUGAGUCUGACGACAGUAACUCAGAAAUUGAGGCUGCUUUACGCCCUAGAAACCAUAACACCGAUGAUUCUGAUGAUUUUUAUGACUAACGUGCUGUGACAUCGGUUUCAAAUAAAGUCUUUAAACAAACUGA